rnacentral:rRNA from 1 species
UACAGAGGGUGCAAGCGUUGUUCGGAAUUAUUGGGCGUAAAGGGCGCGUAGGCGGUGCGGUAAGUCUGUAGUGAAAUCUCUGGGCUCAACUCAGAGUCUGCCUGCAGAAACUGCCGUGCUUGAGUGUGGGAGAGGUGAGUGGAAUUCCCGGUGUAGCGGUGAAAUGCGCAGAUAUCAGGAGGAACACCGAUGGCGAAGGCAGGUCUCUGGGCCACUACUGACGCUGAGAAGCGAAAGCAUGGGGAGCAACAGG